AAUGUCACCUUUAACCAUUUUAAGUAUUGGUUCUCUCUCACGUCCCUGAAUCUACGCUCCCCUAACUUCUCUCUUUGCCGGUUACCUAUUUUUCGCCAGUUUACAGCGGUUGUCUCUCCCUAACUUCUCCCACGUUUGUCUGCUACUGUGUAUAAAACUAUCACCACACAUCCUCUCCAAUCCAUUAUUCACCAUCCUCUCGAAUUCUCUGCUCCUCUCUCACCAAGAAAACCCAAAGCAACAAUCGAAUUUUCUCUGGCCGUCUCUCCCCCAACCAAAUCCAAAUCAACAAUCAAUUGUUGAUUUGCAUCCCUAACCCAAAAGGCAUAGAAGCAUCUAAUUGUUUACACCCAAAUUGGAAAAAUUAGGGUUCACUUUAUUAAAUGUGAAGUGAGUCGCCGGCCACUCGUGUCCACCGCCACCAUCGCUACCACUGAAGUGAGCCGCUGACCAACUGCCACCACUCUCCUAUGGAUGCCUAACAUCCAUCGCCACCAUCGUUGUAGGGGGUCUGUGUUGAAGUCGACGAUUGUUGCGUCAUUGGAUCAGGAAGAAUGAACAAAUUUACUGAAUGUUUCUAUUUUGCACUAUUUACAGGCGGAUUAUCGAAGCCGAAGCUAAUCACUGUAUCAAAUAUGAUUGCUUUUGCAAACCCGAAGCCACUAAAUUAGCCCCGCCUUGCUCAAGGGAAGCUGUGGAAUGUAAUGACUGUAACAUGGACCAGUGGAUAUUCCAUAAGGGAAUCUGAACCAUUUGUUGAAUAUGGAAGGGGGCGAGAGCAGCCUGGAGGAAGAUAUACGAGCUUUUUUAUGGAGGACCCUAUGAUGUAAUUAUUACUCGUAUGUAGGAAUGAAUUAUCAUACUUUAAACACUUGCACUUUAAUUUUGACCAUUUGAGAUCGAGGAUGAACUAUUUUGCCUGAUUGCCCUAACCUGUUUGGAACUACGUAUAGAAACAAUUGAUACAAAACUGGUGUUUCUGAGCAUACAAAGCCUCCGUGUCAUCAGGUCUUAUUUUGAUAGUUUCUCUAAUCUAUAUGUUAUGGAAUGGCUAGAGGUGUAGCGAUAACAUCAGGGUAUUGUUAUUAGUUGCAAAGGCUUUUAUAGCUACCUAGAGGUAUAUGAUUCUUUUAUCUAAAAACACCUGGCUUUGGGUAUUUGAACACCAACAAGGUACUUUUUUAAGAUUUGAAAUGUUAUUGUGUACCUUGAGGCAGGGGCCACGGGAUAUGACAAGUUAAACCAGCCUGGCUGCUUCCACUGGUUUUUAAUAUAUAAAUAAUUAAGUUUUAAAAUGUUAAAGAUGGUAUUAAUUAGUACAAUAUGUUACUUUUAGGUAUCCGUACAAUCCACAAAAUAAAAUAAAUAAAUGAAAUGUUAUAUGGCUUAUUCUGUUUACAUGACCACUUCCAAGAUUUGCUUGUAGGUUGUUAAAUCUUUGAAAUCUCAGUUGUCUUUCUAUAUGGUUUGUAGGUUUACAAGAGUGGUCCCUUAUUUUUGUCAUCAAAAGGGAUUGAGUGGACAUCUUGGAAGAAAAGGUGGUUUGUUUUAAUAGAAAACUCAUUGGUCUUCUUCAGAAGUGAAGUGAUCCUAAUGCAGCAGCAUCUCAAAAGGGGGGUGAGGCAAAUCUGACUCUUUGUGGCAAAGAUUUCAACAAUUCAGGCAGGUUGGCCUGCUUCUAUUUCAUCAUCUUUCUUCAUGAUUGACUUUCUUUCAAUACCUCAAGCUUUCUAUUCGUGAUUAUUGGUAAUGGGUCAAAAUGGGUUCGUGCUUAUCACGGACAGGUCACACACGCUCCCAAGGACAUUAUGGACAAACCACAAAUUUUUGCAGUAGGAGACUCUUUUAGAACAUUAUUAUUUCCUGGUAGGCUCAUGGGUUACAUUUAUGACACCGAAAGAUAAACAAGGUGGGAAGUAGAUAGUAGCAUUCAUCAAUGAUCAUUCUGAAGUACAUUUUGUAUGAGUGGAUUGCCUUCUGAUAAGUUAAUGAAAUUCUUAAGUCAUCUGGUAAUCAUUUUAUUGUGAUAAUUAAUGAGUUACUAUCAUUAGCUUUUGAGAUUCAA